rnacentral:rRNA from 1 species
AAAAUUAUAAUUAUUAUUUUUUUAAAUUUAUAUAUUUAUUAAAAUAAAAAAAUUAAAUUUUAUUAUUAAUUAGAAAAAAUUUAUUUUAUUAUAGUUAAUUAAUAUUGUGAAAGAAUUAAGUAAUUUAUUUAAUAGAAAAAUUUAAUUUUUGUACCUUGUGUGUCAGGGUUUAUUAAAAAAAAAUUUAUAUAAAUUUAUCUCGAAUUUAAAAGAGUUAAAAAGUUAUAUUUUUUAAUGUUUAAUAAUUAUUAAUAAUAACUUAUUUGUAGUGAAAUGUUAUUCGUUUUUAAAUAUAUCUAGUUUUUUAAGAAAUAAAUUUAAUUUAAUUAUUGAUUUAAUAAAAAAUUAAGUUUUUAGUUUUUUAUUUUUAAUAAUAAAUAUUUUUAGGGAUGAGCUUAAAAAUAAAAUUUUAUUAAUUUAUAAAUUAAAUAAAAUUGUAGAAUUAAAAUUUUUUAUCAAUAAAAAAAUGUUAUAAUUAAUUUAUAAUUAAAUAUUAUUUUUAUAAAUAUAUUAAAUUUUUUAUUAAAAUAUUAAUUAAAAUAUUAUUAAUUAAUAAAUGAUGAUAAAAUUAGUAUAAAUUACUGUGUAUAGAUGGUUUAAAUUUAGGUUAAGUAAAGGAAUUCGGCAAAUUAUUUUUUACCUGUUUAUUAAAAACAUGUCUUUUUGAUAAUAAUUUAAAGUCUAACCUGCCCAAUGAUAAUAUUUAAUGGCCGCGGUAUUUUGACCGUGCUAAGGUAGCAUAAUCAAUAGUUUUUUAAUUGAAAGCUGGAAUGAAGGGUUGGAUAAAAAAAUAACUGUCUUUAUUUAAUUUAAUUAGAAUUUUAUUUUUAAGUUAAAAAGCUUAAAUUUUAUUAGAAGACGAGAAGACCCUAUAGAGUUUUAUAAGUAACUGGAUUAUUAUAUUUAGAAUUAAUUUUAUUAGUUUAAUUAUUUAUUUAAUUGGGGUGAUUAAAAAAUUAAUUUAACUUUUUUUGUACAUUUACAUAUAUAAAUGAAUAUUUGAUCCAUUUAUAGUGAUUAUAAGAUAAAAUUACCUUAGGGAUAACAGCGUUAUUUUUUUUUAGAGUUCAAAUCGAAAAAAAAGAUUGCGACCUCGAUGUUGGAUUAAAAUUAAUUUUUGGUGUAGAAGCUAAAAUAUUAGGUCUGUUCGACCUUUAAAAUUUUACAUGAUCUGAGUUUAAACCGGUUUAAGCCAGGUUGGUUUCUAUCUUUAAUAUAUAAUUAUAUCUUAGUACGAAAGGAUUAGAUAUAGGAUUAAUAAUUUUAUUAUGAAUAAUUUUAAU